UACGGGGGGGGCAAGCGUUGUUCGGAAUUACUGGGCGUAAAGGGCUCGUAGGCGGCCAACUAAGUCAGACGUGAAAUCCCUCGGCUUAACCGAGGAACUGCCUGUCAGACUGGAAGGCUUGAGACCGGGAGAGGUGAGUGGAAUUCCCAGUGUAGCGGUGAAAUGCGUAGAUAUUGGGAGGAACACCAGUGGCGAAGGCGGCUCACUGGACCGGUACUGACGCUGAGGCGCGAAAGCGUGGGGAGCAAACAGG
rnacentral:rRNA from 1 species